rnacentral:rRNA from 1 species
AGAGUUUGAUCAUGGCUCAGGACGAACGCUGGCGGCGUGCCUAAUACAUGCAAGUCGAGCGAGCAGAACCAGCAGAUUUACUUCGGUAAUGACGCUGGGGACGCGAGCGGCGGAUGGGUGAGUAACACGUGGGGAACCUGCCCCAUAGUCUGGGAUACCACUUGGAAACAGGUGCUAAUACCGGAUAAGAAAGCAGAUCGCAUGAUCAGCUUAUAAAAGGCGGCGUAAGCUGUCGCUAUGGGAUGGCCCCGCGGUGCAUUAGCUAGUUGGUAAGGUAACGGCUUACCAAGGCGAUGAUGCAUAGCCGAGUUGAGAGACUGAUCGGCCACAUUGGGACUGAGACACGGCCCAAACUCCUACGGGAGGCAGCAGUAGGGAAUCUUCCACAAUGGACGCAAGUCUGAUGGAGCAACGCCGCGUGAGUGAAGAAGGUUUUCGGAUCGUAAAGCUCUGUUGUUGGUGAAGAAGGAUAGAGGUAGUAACUGGCCUUUAUUUGACGGUAAUCAACCAGAAAGUCACGGCUAACUACGUGCCAGCAGCCGCGGUAAUACGUAGGUGGCAAGCGUUGUCCGGAUUUAUUGGGCGUAAAGCGAGCGCAGGCGGAAAAAUAAGUCUGAUGUGAAAGCCCUCGGCUUAACCGAGGAACUGCAUCGGAAACUGUUUUUCUUGAGUGCAGAAGAGGAGAGUGGAACUCCAUGUGUAGCGGUGGAAUGCGUAGAUAUAUGGAAGAACACCAGUGGCGAAGGCGGCUCUCUGGUCUGCAACUGACGCUGAGGCUCGAAAGCAUGGGUAGCGAACAGGAUUAGAUACCCUGGUAGUCC